rnacentral:rRNA from 1 species
ACGACCAGCCACACUGGGACUGAGACACGGCCCAGACUCCUACGGGAGGCAGCAGUGGGGAAUUUUGGACAAUGGGCGAAAGCCUGAUCCAGCAAUGCCGCGUGUGUGAAGAAGGCCUUCGGGUUGUAAAGCACUUUUGUCCGGAAAGAAAUCCUUGGCUCUAAUACAGUCGGGGGAUGACGGUACCGGAAGAAUAAGCACCGGCUAACUACGUGCCAGUAGCCGCGGUAAUACGUAGGGUGCGAGCGUUAAUCGGAAUUACUGGGCGUAAAGCGUGCGCAGGCGGUUUGCUAAGACCGAUGUGAAAUCCCCGUGCUCAACCUGGGAACUGCAUUGGUGACUGGCAGGCUAGAGUAUGGCAGAGGGGGGUAGAAUUUCUCGACUCACUAUAGGGAGAGCGGAUUCUGGCUCAGUAAACUCAAAUGAAUCGACCGAGGUAGAGUUCGAUUCUGGC